UUUUUCCCUUUAUAAAUAUACCUUGUAGGGCUAGGCUCUUCAAACCCAUUUUUACACAAUUAAUAAGCUGGUUUGUUGGACAGCAUACGAUGUGGAGAGUUAUUUUGCACAGUGAUGGAACUGUAAGGUGCUGGAAUAAUUCACCAGUGACGAUUGUGAAGCACGUGAAAUAUCGUGAGUGCUGCAGGAAUCUUGCAUGUAGAAUUGGAGGACAUAUUGUGGAUCGCUGCAGCGAGUUCGUGGCCUAUGGAGCUGAAGGGACCAGCGCAGCCAUGACUUGUGCGACAUGUGGCUGCCAUAGAAACUUUCACAGAAAGGAAGAGCAAAUUCAAUUGGUUUGUACCUGUUCUUCUCAUCCUACUACGGGUACCGGUGGUGGAGCUUGAAGACAUUUGAUCAUGUGUUUUCUGAACAAUUAGUCAUAUCUAAAACCAACCUAUGUUAUAUGUUUUCUGUGGAUCUGCUUUAAUUUGCUUGUUUAGUUUAAUUUUAUGGUUUUCGAUUUUCGCUUAAUGAUAUGAUGUAAUGGACUGGUGUUCUUCAUAUCUAGUGUGAUGUAUGGUUUCAUGAGUUUGAAAAGAUGUUUUUCAUGUCAUCUCAA